AUUGAACGCUGGCGGCAGGCCUAACACAUGCAAGUCGAGCGGAUGAAGGGAGCUUGCUCCUGGAUUCAGCGGCGGACGGGUGAGUAAUGCCUAGGAAUCUGCCUGGUAGUGGGGGAUAACGUCCGGAAACGGGCGCUAAUACCGCAUACGUCCUGAGGGAGAAAGUGGGGGAUCUUCGGACCUCACGCUAUCAGAUGAGCCUAGGUCGGAUUGGCUAGUUGGUGGGGUAAAGGCCUACCAAGGCGACGAUCCGUAACUGGUCUGAGAGGAUGAUCAGUCACACUGGAACUGAGACACGGUCCAGACUCCUACGGGAGGCAGCAGUGGGGAAUAUUGGACAAAGGGCGAAAGCCUGAUCCAGCCAUGCCGCGUGUGUGAAGAAGGUCUUCGGAUUGUAAAGCACUUUAAGUUGGGAGGAAGGGCAGUAAGUUAAUACCUUGCUGUUUUGACGUUACCAACAGAAUAAGCACCGGCUAACUUCGUG
rnacentral:rRNA from 1 species